rnacentral:lncRNA from 1 species
CUGUCCUUGGGUCGACCCAACUUUCACUUGGGUCGACUCAAACAUUCCUUGGGUCGACCCUCUCAGAAAACACAGAAACUUGAAAUUCAGCCUUCCUUCCCUUGGGUCGACCCAACCAUUCUUUGGGUCGACUCAAAGUUCACUUGGGUCGACUCAACUUCUUCUUGGGUCGACUCUCUCAGUAAUUCCAGAGAACCAUUUCCUGACUUCUUUUUCUGUUUUGCCUUUGGGUCGACCCUCUCAGGGUUUGGGUCGACCCUCUCAGUAAAUCCAGAGAGCCAUUUUUCUGUUUUGUUUCAAGAAUCUUGGUGUUUGGGUCGACUCAUGCUUUCCUUGGGUCGACCCAACUCACUGUUCAUCUGUGCCAAUUUUGCAGAAGUGUGCCAAAUGACUUCUUGAUGUGCCGGGGUCGACCCAAUCAAUCUUUGGGUCGACUUAAUC